ensembl:lncRNA
AUGCAGGAUAUCAAAAUGGAGAACAUUUCUGAGGAAAAGAGCACAAAACCUCUCUACUUGAGUUAUUCUGGCCAUGUUUGUGUGAGAUGUAAGUUUCUCUCUGGGGCAAAAAUACACGAGAAACCAUAUGACAAAGAUCUUUUGGGCUCCGUAAUGUGAAACAGUACAAAGGUUGCCCAGAGUCUUAUUUAUUUAUUUUUAUUAUCUUAGACCCUAGAGCUCUCUGCCUUGGAGCAGGACACCAUCAUAGCAGCCACAGCACAAAAUGACAGGCCCUGUCUCAAAGUCUGCAGAACUGGACAGCAGAAGAAGUGGUGCGACACUGCAAACAGACCUCAAUAGAGAAAAGUUGGAAUCAUUUUGGAGGAAGGACAAAGGGAAAGGCAAUAAGCUAAAUACAGCUUUCAACAGAUUGAAUUUACAUCAGCUGCUUUAGAGGCUUGUAUAAUUUGUGUUGUGAGCGAGAAAGAGUUUGUUCCUGUGGCAGGCUCCUCCUACAUCUCCGCCAUCUCUCUUCCUCUCUGCCUAUGGGUACUUAAUGGUAUGUGGAUAUUUCAACAAGAGAACACAACAUAUGGCUGAACUAUGUCAAAGAAGGCUUAUGCAGCUCACCCACGUAAAUUACAGGAAGUGUUUGAAAAGAAGAUCCUUCAUGCUUUUCCUUUUUCUAAGUGACUGAGAUGCAGGUCGUUCUUGUCUCUGUUUUAUUCAGAAUAUUUGUGGAUAUGUUUACUUAUUAAUGAAAUUCCUUAAAAGCAGACAUAAGAUCUGCUUCCAUUCUCCAAACCACUUACAAGUAAUUGUAUCAACUUUCUUCAUCUGUUGCUUACUUGCAGACCAUGAGUUCCAGGAAAGGAUGUGUGGGUGCUAGUAGGGAGUGGGCAGGGGUAGGUAUUGCUUUGAUUUGCAUAAGGCUAUGCAUUUCCUGAGUGUUGUGCUUGAAGGAAGAAUACUGCAGCUCUCUCAGGCCUCUCCAGGACCUCUUGCUGUGGUAUGUGUGGUAGUGGUAUGCCAGAUGGUGUGAGCAGGAUGCAGGACUAAGGUAGCCCUAAGGCAGUGCAGGGCUCUCUUCUGGCCAGGGGAGGUUCAGGUUAGGAAAGAUUUCUUCUCAGAAGGAGAGGUAAAGCAUUGGCACAGGCUGCCCAGGGAAGUGGUGGAGUCACCAUCCCUAGAGAUUUUCAAGAAAAGGGUAGAUGUGGUGCUGAGGGUUAUAGAUCAGUGGUAUGGUGAUGAUGGGUUGAUGGUUGGACUAGAUGAUCUUAGUGGUCUUUCCAACCUUAAUGAUUCUAUGAUGAUUGCCUCGUCACAUCCCACACAAACCCAAAGCCAUCCAUGACUGGCAACUGGAGGGGCUGGAGAGGGAAAGUGAGGUUGUCCUGAGUUGACUGUGGAAAAAAAUUGUAUGAAUGUAACAUUUCACCAUUGCUCUGGAAGAAGAGGUGGAUGUGCCAUGAAAACAAGGGCAUUGUGACUGCUUGCGCGCAGGCUACCGUACCUCUGAUGUAGUACAAUCACACAGGCUUUGGUGAAUUUGUGAAUUAAUGCUGAAUUUUUCAGAAUAUUUUAGUGAGUUUGAGCUAGCCCCAAAGAACUCACGAGAGAGUUUUCUAUGCCUUUCCUCCCAGUUGUCCCUUAAACAAUAAAGAAAAUGAGGAAAGGAGAUGAAUGAAUAGU